GACGAGCGCUGGCGGCGUGCUUAACACAUGCAAGUCGAACGGAUAGGCCCUGCUUUUGUGUGGUGCUCGCGUGGCGAACGUGUGAGUAACACGUGAGUAACCUUCCCUUUACUUUGGGAUAACUUCAGGCAACUGGUGCUAAUACCUGCUAGGAGCUCCUGCUGCAUGGUGGGGUUUGGACAGUUUCAGCUGUUGGGGAUGGACUCGCGGCUUAUCAGCUUGUUGGUGGGGGAGUGGCUUACCAAGGCUUUGACGGGUAGCCGGCCUGAGAGGGGGACCGGGCACAUUGGGACUGAGAUACGGCCCAGAGUGCUACGGGAGGCAACAGUGGGGAAUAUUGCACAAUGGGCGGAAGCCUGAUGCAGAAACGCCGCGUGCGGGAUGACGGCCUUCGGGGUGUAAACCGCUUUCGCCUGUGACGAAGCGGGAGUGACGGUAAUAGGUAAAGAAGCACCGGCUAACUACGUG
rnacentral:rRNA from 1 species